rnacentral:miRNA from 1 species
UCUCCCUGUAGCCCUUGCUGGCCUGGAACUCACUAUGUAGACCAGGCUAGUCUUGAACUCACAGAGAUCCACCUGCCUCUGCCUCCUGGGUGCUGGGAUUAAAGGCGUGUGCCACCCAUGCCC